AGGAACCUCCGAGCAAGUGAAGUCUUUGAGAUUGUAUCUCCGAGCAACUGUAAAGGUUUGUUAAGCACCCGUAAGCUUAACAAGUUAGUAGAAAAUCUUGAGAGAGUCUCUCGGGGACUGGACUAACCACUGUUGUGGCCAAGCAGGAUAUAUCCUUGUGUAAAUUAUUUUGAUUGCACUUAUUUACUUCCUGUAAAAAUUUAAAUUCCGCAAGAAAACGCUAAAUUUCAUUAAAACGCU
rnacentral:lncRNA from 1 species